GGGGGCGUAGUUUAAUGGUAGAACAUCGGUUUUACACGCCGUUGGCGCGGGUUCGAUUCCUGCCGCUCCCA
rnacentral:tRNA from 1 species